CGACCUCAGAUCAGACGCGAUUACCCGAUAAAUUUAAGCAUAUCGGUAAGCGAUGGAAAAGAAAAGAUUUCGAUUUCUCCGAGUAGCGGCGAGAGAAACGAGAAAAGUCCAUACACCGAAGUCGGCGAGCAGUUGUGUUCGUCAACAGUGUGGUGUUAAAGGUGUCGUUGCAUGUGCUGAAAUCAGUUCGUAGGCUCCCUUGAUUGGGGCUUCAGAGCGGGUGCAGGACCCAUAACGAACGAUGUUUUGUGCAUGGUGUCGCGGCUCCUAAUCGAGUCGGGUUGCUUGAGACUGCAGCCCAAAGCGGGUGGUAAAUCUCACCCAAGACUAAAUAUUCGUACGAGACCGAUAGCGAACAAGUACCGCGAGGGAAAGUUGAAAAGAACUCUGAAGAGAGAGUUCAACAGGACGUGAAACCGUUGACAGGCAAACGGAUGGAGCUGACGGUGCAAUUUUGACCAAAAUCAGUCGUCGCUGGGUUCGUUGGCGAAUGAAUCUUUUGCAAACUUGUUUGUGUAGAUUAUCUUUCGAUUCUAAUCUA
rnacentral:ncRNA from 1 species